ACAUGGUUUUGAAAUUCUGAGAGACAGAAGAGAAGGCAUCUGUUCUGGAUCAUUACCUCUCCUUGGUGCCAUCAACUGAGCCAUCCUGUUCUUAUCUGCUCUCCUAUUGCGAGUCCCCACAAGUGCCCCUUGUUGCUCACAAGGCCCUUCAGAUCCAUUGGCUCUUGGAUGCUCCUGGCUACAUGAAAAGAGGAUAUGAGGAAAGAAGGCAGACAUUAUUCAUCAGAGUGUGGCCCAUUCAGGAUGGACUCUCUUUUCCACAUGUAGCCUCCAUGUAGGCAGAACAGGCCUCUCUCUACAAGGCGACUCAGUAACAGCUGCUUGGAAAUUGGAAGAGGUCAAGGUAAGCUGCCCACCGACUUCUGGUUCAAAAUGGCAGCUGGCUGUUGGUUCCCCAAGCUGAGCCAUUCAGCUCUUCUCAUUGAAACUAUAGCACAUUAAAAACCAGAAGAUAAUUUAGUAGCAUCUAUACAGUUUGGAGAAGAAAAGGAUCUGACCCAGCAAUGUUACCUCUGAAUU